rnacentral:lncRNA from 1 species
UUACAAGUCCUUCCUUUGAGUCUGGUUUUCGGGGUUAACGUCUUUUAUGGUCAAUUCUCUAUUAAGUACUAAACAAGCAGUUAUAGUGCCAUAUAAAUAGUGCCUUUCUCGCUCUUCUCUCACCUUUCCUUUUUCCAGUCUCUCUAUUUCUUAAAACAUUUCUUAUGUCAAAUCAUCAUAGGUUGGCCCGGGUUCUCCUCAAAACUUCCCUUUCAGAAAUACAUGGGACUCUUUCCAUCCGGAUUUCUCACUUCAUAAUAGAUUAGGCAAUGAGCCGGUUCAUAUAAGUAUACUCAAUAAUGACAGACUCCCAUUGAAAAAUAGAUGCUCAGUUAGAAAGUACAUCCGCU